UCUUCACUGCCCCGAAUUCUUCGCCAGACGAUGGUCGCCGCCUUUUGAUCAAUGAGAGAGAAGAGGAGACGGGAUCGAGGGCGUCGCCGGGGCACCAAGUUGACUACACCAAGAUUUUGGGAAUCAGAUCUGCACCAUGCCGGUCAAAUAGACCGUCACCGCUCACAUCCCCGCCCUCCAACGCCAUGGGGUUUCCUCUGUGCCCCCAACAACACAGGCGAGCCCCCUGGCCUCUCUCUGUGUACUCCUUUCCAUGCCGCCUGUGCUCUAUGUAGGAGCAGGUAGGGCCAUGAGGAGCCCGUGCCUGGAUGGGUGGGGGCUUCUGUUACCCGAGGUCGUCGGCAGGCGGUGACUGAACCAUCGCCUCUCUCCUACCAUACGCUCUCUGCCCUUCUACAUGGGGGAUCUCUCUGAUUUUGUGCAGCACAUUGCAGGUGUUUGAAGGAGGAACAGGGCCGACAACCAGAACAUGAGCACUACCGGAACAACAAGUUCUUGGUCCCCAAAUCUCUUUUGCAAGUUGGGCAGCCACCAGAAGCGACCUGGGAGUUGGAACAGUGGUUGUUUCAAGCAAACACGUAAGCCUCACACAGGCAUGAAAAUGGCACGAGGUUCAUGAAACCAGGCUCAACACCAGCAUGAGGUUCAGGUCCAUCUGUCGAGUCUUCUACUGGUUCUUCAGGUUCCAUCUUGUUUGUGUUGCUGUAAAGAUUCAAGAUUUUCGAGAUUCGAAAAGAAAUUACUUCCUGCUGCAUACAAGUACAACACCAGCAGGUUCUACUUCCUUUGUUCCUACGUGGAGCAGAUUUUGUUGCAAAUAUGAACACAAACUGGACAGGUUCUACUUCCUUCAUUAGUUGCAAAUCUGAACAUAAACUGGACAGUUCAUCUGUUCUGUGGGUUACUUUUAGUUGCAUACGAUGUAAAUCUUUGCAAGAACACAUGUUUUACUUCCUACAUGGAGCAGAUUUUGUUGGAAAUCUGAACAUAAACUGGACAGGUUCUACUUCCUUCAUUA